UUCGCCCUUUUCCGGUUGAUCCUGCCGGACCUGACUGCUAUCGGAUUGAUACUAAGCCAUGCGAGUCAUUGUAGCAAUACAAGGCAGACGGCUCAGUAACGCGUAGUCAACCUACCCUAUGGACGGGAAUAACCUCGGGAAACUGAGUAUAAUGCCCGAUAGAACACUAUACCUGGAAUGGUUUGUGUUUCAAACGAUUUAUUGCCGUAGGAUGGGACUGCGGCCUAUCAGUUUGUUGGUGAGGUAAUGGCCCACCAAGACUAUUACAGGUACGGGCUCUGAGAGGAGUGGCCCGGAGAUGGGUACUGAGACACGGAUCCAGGCCCUAUGGGGCGCAGCAGGCGAGAAAACUUUGCAAUGUG
rnacentral:rRNA from 1 species